rnacentral:rRNA from 1 species
AUUGAACGCUGGCGGCAGGCCUUACACAUGCCAGUCGAGCGGCAGCAGGGGUGUUGCCCCCUGGUUGCGAGUGGGAAAGGUGUGUGUUGUAUAUCGAUAUGCGUGCUAGUGGGGGGUAUAGUCCGGCGACAGCCGCUUUAAUACCGCACGCGAUCUACGGAUAAAAGGGGGGGCCUUGGGGCUCUCGCUAUAAGGUGAUGGUCGAUGGGUGAUUAGCUAGUUGGGGGGGUAAAGGCCUACCAAGGCGACGAUCAGUAUCUGGUCUGAGAGGACGACCAGCCACACUGGAACUGAGACACGGCCCAGACUCCUACGGGAGGCAGCAGUGGGGAAUUUUGGACAAUGGGCGAAAGCCUGAUCCAGCAAUGCCGCGUGUGUGAAGAAGGCCUUCGGGUUGUAAAGCACUUUAGUUCGGAAAGAAAUGCUUGGACCUAAUACGGUCGGGGGAUGACGGUACCGGAAGAAUAAGCACCGGCUAACUACGUG